rnacentral:lncRNA from 1 species
CUAACAAGGAAAAAAAGAAGAAGAACGCUAAAACAGCUUCAGCUGCGCAGAACGGUGCAAGGCAACCCCCCUAAAAAAACUUCAUCUAUUCAGGAAGAAGCCAUCUCCCAUGGCUUCUUAGCAGAACAUAAAACAAAAUCCACCCUCUUUUUCAACGCCCAGCAAAACUUUCCCCAAUCACCAAGCCAUCAGCCGAUGGCCACUCUUUCACCACCCAAAGGCGCACGCACUCACGCGAGCAAAGAAGCUUAAAAACAGAAAUUGUAAGGUCAGAUCGAGUUCUUAUGGUUGGGCUGUCUCUUUGAGGUCGAAAGUCGUGUUCACUGCCUUCAUUUGAGGUUUCCGGUCGGGUCUGUCUGGUUUAGCUUCAUUAGCUUGAGUUCUUUGUAAACAAGCAGCAGGUUCUUUGGAAAUUGAAAGUAAUUUAGGUCACUCUUUUUCUCCUACUCAUUUCUUGAUUCAGUCAUUGUUUGUAUAAUUACUUGACGGCAUGGCCUUUAGUACAUUUAUGGAGUCUAUUUUGUUCAUCUUUGAGCUUACUUUGAAACAUUUGAGUCCAGAAUGUAGUGAUUUUUGCGAGAAUAGUUCAUCCAUAUGCACUGAGAUUAGUGAAUUAGCUUAAGUGUAUUUUGCAAUUCCCAUGUGGUAACCUAUCAAGGAAAUGACAUAGUAGCUUUCCCGGGGUGUUUGUCUCAAUGGUUUAUAUGUUUAGUUCAUUUUGCUCAUUCUUUUUAUGAGUGUUAGGAUGCUUUAUUGAUGUACAUAUUUAAGGCUAUCUUUAUCUCUAUUUCUUUAUUUUGUCGUUGUCCGUUUUGUUUCUCUUUUCUCAUGUGCUUGGUCAUUGAUAUUACAAUCCUAGAUAGACAUAUGUUAGAUAUGUUGUUUGCUUUGUGCAGUUUAAUGAGUUGCACGAAUGGAAGGGUGAUUGUUGAGCUACUG